GUUCCCUGCAUUGAGAAAGUAUAUAGUCAGGAACUUGAAAUUCUAAACCUAGCAUCCUACCUUUAGAUUUUAGUCUUUUUUGGGUCCAUGUCUAAAAAAUUUGUAAGUUUAAAAAUGAGUAACUGUUGCCUAGUUCACUAAGAUUUUAAAACAAAAUGACAUGAGCACAGAUAGCUCCUAAGCACCAGGAAGGCUGUCUUACAGGUCUGCAGGCUGGCAGUGUAAGAGUAGGCAGCUGAGCACUCGGACUCUGGCAAGGCCCCAUUUCAGGUCCACCGAUGGAGCCGCCAUGGUGGGAGGGGAGGCUCUGGAAGAGCAAAACGCAUGCUGAACCUCUUCUCUCAUGAGCCACACUUCUCCAGGCUACCUCACUGGGGCAGGGUUUUGAAGAGACAGGUCCAGACCAUAGCAGCCUCAGGUAAAGCUUUACUCUCUGAUAAUUUGCACAUCCUUUGAACAGCUAUUUAAUUAUUUGCUAUCAGCGAUAGUUUAACCUAUUUUAAAUGUUAUUUAUCUUAUUUUAGUGUUUGAUAUAUAAAAGCCAUUUAGGAAAUUAUUUAUGGGGUUAGUGCCCUGACCCCUUUAAUGUAGCAAAUACAUAUCAAAAUGAAACCUUGCAUGGAAGCCUAGUGUCUAUAAAAAGAAAUGAUGUUUAUUUUCUGUUGUGAUCAUGGAAUUGGGAUGUUUUAGGCAGAACUAUAUCGCCAUAAAACUUAGGGGGAAAAAAGAGACAUGUCCACACUGUACUUCUAAUGCCCAGGGGUACGAGUAAGCCUCAGCAGCCUGAGUGACAAGACAGAAUUCACACAUAUUCGGGCAACUCAAAUUCAGGUGAGGGCAUUUGUUUUGUUUAUGAGUAGCCAUAUUAACGAUGCUCUUUCAUUUGCACAAAUGGAAUCUGAAACAUUAUUGUCCAUGGGAGACUCUAAAAGAAAACCAUAGGUCAGAGUGACUUGCAGUUUCAGAUGAUAGAGGUUUUUUAGGAUUAAGGAUAAGCUAAUUUUAUUAAAUGAAAAUAUUUCUAUGUUACUUUCUCACUGACAGCAUGUUUCUCAAUAAAAUACCUAUUUUAACU
rnacentral:lncRNA from 1 species